AUGGCCUGGGCACCUCUCCUCCUCACCCUCCUUGCUCACUGCACAGGGUCCUGGGCCCAGUUUGAGCUGACCCAGCCCCGCUCAGUGUCGGGGUCUGUGGGGCAGACGGUCACCAUCUCCUGCACCCGCAGCAGCGGUGACAUUGAAGAUGGCUGUGUUCUGGUACCAGCGGCGCCCGCGCGGCGCCUCCAGCACUGUGAUCUAUGCUGAUGACCAGAGACCCUCAGGGGUCCCCGGUCGGUUCUCUGGCUCCAUCGACAGCUCCUCCAUGCCGCCGCCCUGACCAUCUCCGGGCUGCAGCCCGAGGACCAGGCCGACUACUACUGUCAGGCUUACGACAAUAGCAGUUAUAGCUCGCAGUGCCCCAGACGGGCGGGGAAGUGA